rnacentral:lncRNA from 1 species
CGAGCUCUUCACAGAAGCAGAAUCCUCCUCUGCAAGUACCGAGUCAAACUCCUCAUCCCCACAAAGGUAUGAUCUCACAACGGUCCACCUCUUCUUCUCAUUGCUUCUACUUCCCUGUGAAAAAUAUAAAAACCAGGCAAAAAUUCAUCAUUGUUGAAUUCGGACCAUAUAACAAAUGUACGACUUACAUUGGCUCGAUGAGAAGUUGCAGAAGAAGACGUUCUGGAGAAGACAUUCCUACCAUUGAUCAUUCCCAUUUUCUUUCCCUGUAUAUUUUUCUCCUCAACUGCUGGUAAAUUAUGAGGAGGAAACUAUGGAGGGGAAUCCUUAUAUGAUCAUGAUUACAAGCACUUCUUGAGAGUACUCUGGCAGUUGGCCCUGACUUUAAGCUGUAAAAAUCAAGUCUUUAUUUUGCAUAUGUAGAGAACCCUACCUUAAGAAUAAUUGAUGAGACUUUUUAUUCUUCUUCUAGCAGAUGGGUAUUGUAGAUCACCUUUUAGAGGCACAUGGGCUGCUCACAGAUUGGUGCAAAAGCAAAGCAAGAACCCCCAAAGUCUUUUCCUUGUAACUUAGGCUAAUGUCUGUGCUUUCUUUCUUUAUUCAUGUGUUGCUGGCUUGGCUUAGCUGGCUAAGCUUUUCCCCUUUUCAACUGUGAGAGAAGGGUCAUAGGUUUCUGGUUUUUGUUGUUGUUGUUGAUGUUUUUGUUGCAGGCAGUUGACAGAUCUUUGCCAUGGUGGUUUGCUUUGUUUGCAGGUGGAAGCAUCCUUAAGUGUUAUGGAAGUUGCAAGAUUUCAUAUCUACUUAUGAGUGAAUUUGAUUGAACAUGUUAGAACCAGAGAGGAUAUUGAAUAAGACAUAAUUCAUCUGCCAGUUUGAUGAUCAAUUUGACUAUGUAUCGAGUAUAUUACAUUCUGAAGUUUCAAAUAAUUGAAUUUACACUGUGAGAUUACGGUCUUGG